UUGAAAACCUAAAGUUUUAAGUGUAUUGGUAUAAAACAAAUACGAAAAUGAUGUUUAAGGACUAUUUUGUAUAUUUAUGCUUAUUUGCACUCUUUUGAAACAAAAUAAUACAUUACAAUGGUGGGAAUAACACCCUCGUGGCCGGUUAAAAAGUUAAAUCGAUGAAAAUGAUUUGUUUUAAGAAUUACUGGAAUUACUAGUGCUAUUAAUAUGAACUACUAGGUACUAUUGUGAAUUACCUUGAACUACCUUAAAAUACCUUGAAUUACUAUGUAUUAUGCAUGCUUAUAAAAUUUUUAAUUUUGGUCUUAUUGUUUAUUUUUAAAAGAUGUAUCUCAUAUAUUACGUGAUAAUAUGUUCAUAUAUGUGUUUAUUUGUCAAAUUAGAUAUAAAAUACUUUUAAUUUCUCUAAUUGAUAGAAAACUUCUCAUUUCCAUAGAAAACAUCCUUACACUUCCAUAGUAAUGUCUUGAUGAGAAUGUCAUACUGAGAUGAAUAACAGAAAAUACAUAUUUUUUGAAACUUUUUUUCUGGUAAUGUGUUAUAUACAAUCUAAAACUGUCUAAAUACAUUAGUAUUACUAAUAAAUUUGAUUUUUUGAUGUAGUAUUACUAAAAAAUGUUAUAUUUUGCAAAAGUAUUACUAUGAAGAAGAAAAUAUUACUACUAGCUUGAGUACUACUAAGUGUAAAUAUUCAAAUAUGUGUUUAUCUCUUUUAACAGGUUUUAGACA